CGACCCCAGGUCAGGCGGGGUUACCCCCUGAAUUUAAGCA
rnacentral:rRNA from 1 species